CUGGCCACAGUUCAUCACUGCUCCAGCGUGGAGGAAACGGCUGUGUGUGUGCGUGUGCAUCUGUGUGUGUGUGUGCGCGCGCGCGUGCAUGUGUGUGUGUGUGUGGUCCCCAGGCUGAAAACCCUAACCUUACCCAGGAGCUGGGCUACACAGCACAUCAUUACUGGCUUCCCUCCUGCUCUGAGGCUCUGUCUGCUCUGUGCUGUUUAUAGGGUCACAUGUAGAAGACGACAGUGUCACCAUCCAGCUGCUGCUCAGCCCUGAUACUUUUCCAAUCACAGGCACCUUCUGGGACACCGUGAGUCCCGAGCAAACAGACUUCCCGGUGCCAGGAUCUCUCCUCUGAAAACACCACUUCAUUUGUCUAGUGGCACUGGGAGCAGUGUGUCACCUAGUACACCCUUUGGUCCAAUCGUCUCUUCUAGCAAAUGUUCAUUGCAAUGAGUCUGGUUCAAGGCCUCUGGUUUCUGGUCCACCAUCCUCACUGGAUCCUCACCGAAACUCCUCUGGGAUAUCCUGAGGCUGCCUGAGUCAAGGAGAUCGUCCAGCUUAAAUAGAUUUACAGUGUUCUGCCUGCAGGCCAGAAGAGGGCACCUGAUCUCAUUACAGAUGAUUGUGAGCCACCUGCGGUUGCUGGUAAUUGAAUUCACAACCUCUGGAUGAACAGCCAGUGCUCUUAACCUCUGAGCCAUCUCUCCAGUUCCGACUUGGAUUUUUUUUUUCAUUAUUGAUAUUGGGGUCUCGUGUAACCUAGGCUGGCCUUCAACUUCCUGUGUAGCUGAGGAUGACCUUGAACUGAGCCUCUGAAAGCAGACAGGAUCAUGCCUGGCUGUCAGAUCUACUACUAAUAUUUCUUAUUUGGUUAUUUAGCUCUUGAGUAAUCUGGAAUUUGUGACUGGUAUACUAUCUUUAUUUUCUGUAAGCUCCAAGUUCUUACAAAAAUGCAGACACUAUUUUUACCUGUCUUCUGAAGACCCACAAAUAAUGAAUCUCCCUGUCCCCCAAAACUCCAUUCCAGCUCUGGGAAUGAGAGUAAACCCAAGAAGAAACCCAUUUGUAAGGCAGGAGAAAAAGCGUCUCCAAGGACUGUUGCAGGUGAAACGGAGGCAUAUGGAGAGGACACUUGCAGCUAUCAAACAGGGAGGAAGGGGUAUGUAAAACUGAGGGGAAGCAGAAGCUGAGCAUAUUGAUUAGAAUGUAUAGCACAAACUAAAUAAACGUGGAGAGGCUGCCAAAGCUGAGACUGCCCUUGUAAGGUCGGAAUCACCUUGCCCCUUGUUUCUGCAGUUGGUCAGCUAAGAAUGGUUUUGAUAUGUGUAAAUGUUCGGCAGACUCAGAGUGUAGUAUCAGAAAGACAAGAUGUUGAAGGAGGCUGUUUGUUCAUCCCAGUCACCCAGAACUGAAACAACACCACAGAAACUGUAUUAAUUAAAUCACUGCUUGACUCAUUAGCUCUAACUUAUUGACUGACUCUUACAUAUUAAUUUAACCCAUUUCUAUUAAUCUGUGUAUUGCUACGUGACUGUGGCUUACCAGCUGAAGUUCUGCCUGGCUCCAGCAGGGCUGCGCGACUUCUCUCUGACUCUUUUUACUCUUUUUCCCAGCAUUCAGUUAAGUUUUCCCUGCCUGGCUCUGUUCCCCUGUAGCUCUGCAAUAGGCCCAAGCAGUUUCUUUAUUAACCAAUGGUAAUCACAGCAUACAGAGGAGAGUCCCACAUCAACAAGAAGUUCAGGGCUAGCCUUGGUUAUGUAGUUGA